rnacentral:rRNA from 1 species
UGCAAGUCGAACGGUAGCACAGAGAGCUUGCUCUUGGGUGACGAGUGGCGGACGGGUGAGUAAAGUCUGGGAAACUGCCUGAUGGAGGGGGAUAACCACUGGAAACGGUGGCUAAUACCGCAUAAUCUCGCGAGAGCAAAGUGGGGGACCUUAAUGGCCUCACGCCAUCGGAUGUGCCCAGAUGGGAUUAGCUUGUUGGUGGGGUAAAGGCUCACCAAGGCGACGAUCCCUAGCUGGUCUGAGAGGAUGACCAGCCACACUGGAACUGAGACACGGUCCAGACUCCUACGGGAGGCAGCAGUGGGGAAUAUUGCACAAUGGGCGCAAGCCUGAUGCAGCCAUGCCGCGUGUGUGAAGAAGGCCUUCGGGUUGUAAAGCACUUUCAGCGGGGAGGAAGGUGGUGUGGUUAACAGCCACAUCAAUUGACGUUACCCGCAGAAGAAGCACCGGCUAACUCCGUGCCAGCAGCCGCGGUAAUACGGAGGGUGCAAGCGUUAAUCGGAAUUACUGGGCGUAAA